rnacentral:rRNA from 1 species
UACAGAGGUCUCGAGCGUUGUUCGGAUUCAUUGGGCGUAAAGGGCGCGUAGGCGGCGGGGUAAGUCUGGUGUGGAAAUCUCGGAGCUCAACUCCGAAAUUGCACUGGAUACUGCUCUGCUAGAGGGCUGGAGAGGAGAUCGGAAUUCACGGUGUAGCAGUGAAAUGCGUAGAUAUCGUGAGGAAGACCAGUGGCGAAGGCGGAUCUCUGGACAGCUCCUGACGCUGAGGCGCGAAAGCUAGGGAGCAAACGGG